GACGAACGCUGGCGGCGUGCUUAACACAUGCAAGUCGAACGGAAAGGCCCUGCUUUUGUGGGGUGCUCGAGUGGCGAACGGGUGAGUAACACGUGAGUAACCUGCCCUUGACUUUGGGAUAACUUCAGGAAACUGGGGCUAAUACCGGAUAGGAGCUCCUGCUGCAUGGUGGGGGUUGGAAAGUUUCGGCGGUUGGGGAUGGACUCGCGGCUUAUCAGCUUGUUGGUGGGGUAGUGGCUUACCAAGGCUUUGACGGGUAGCCGGCCUGAGAGGGUGACCGGCCACAUUGGGACUGAGAUACGGCCCAGACUCCUACGGGAGGCAGCAGUGGGGAAUAUGGCACAAUGGGCGGAAGCCUGAUGCAGCAACGCCGCGUGCGGGAUGACGGCCUUCGGGUUGUAAACCGCUUUCGCCGGGGACGAAGCGUGAGUGACGGUAAUGGGUAAAGAAGCACCGGCUAACUACGUG
rnacentral:rRNA from 1 species